GCCCUUUUAAUGUGCUGUCCAUCAACAGAUAAACAUGACAUGUGUCCGUGAAAACAUGGUGCAUAUGGUAACCCUACCUUAAACCAGCCAAGGCCAGUGAUAGAUAAGUCAGGUUCUCCUGUAUAAACUACAUGCAUACCCAUUGUAUAUAAAUCGGUAUAAUUAACCCAUCAACUGCUUUGCUUGGUAUCAGGUAAUCAUAUUAGACAGAAAAGAAGUGUGGG